rnacentral:rRNA from 1 species
CGCUAUUAGAUGAGCCUAUGUCAGAUUAGCUAGUUGGUGGGGUAAUGGCCUACCAAGGCGGUGAUCUGUAGCUGGUCUGAGAGGAUGAUCAGCCACACUGGAACUGAGACACGGUCCAGACUCCUACGGGAGGCAGCAGUGGGGAAUAUUGGACAAUGGGCGCAAGCCUGAUCCAGCUAUGCCGCGUGAGUGAGGAAGGCCUUAGGGUUGUAAAACUCUUUCAGUAGGGAAGAUAAUGACGGUACCUACAGAAAAAGUCCCGGCAAACUCGGGAUCCC